UGUAUUAGGUUGGUGCAAAAGUAAUUGCAGUUUUUGCCUUUUCGUAUUUAUGGCAAAAAUCGCAAUUACUUUUGCAACAACGCAAUAC
rnacentral:miRNA from 10 species